rnacentral:rRNA from 1 species
UGGGGAAUAUUGCACAAUGGGCGCAAGCCUGAUGCAGCCAUGCCGCGUGUGUGAAGAAGGCCUUCGGGUUGUAAAGCACUUUCAGCGGGGAGGAAGGCGGUGAGGUUAAUAACCUCAUCGAUUGACGUUACCCGCAGAAGAAGCACCGGCUAACUCCGUGCCAGCAGCCGCGGUAAUACGGAGGGUGCAAGCGUUAAUCGGAAUUACUGGGCGUAAAGCGCACGCAGGCGGUCUGUCAAGUCGGAUGUGAAAUCCCCGGGCUCAACCUGGGAACUGCAUUCGAAACUGGCAGGCUAGAGUCUUGUAGAGGGGGGUAGAAUUCCAGGUGUAGCGGUGAAAUGCGUAGAGAUCUGGAGGAAUACCGGAGGCGAAGGCGGCCCCCUGGACAAAGACUGACGCUCAGGUGCGAAAGCGUGGGGAGCAAACAGG